GACGAACGCUGGCGGCGUGCCUAAUACAUGCGAGUAGAACGCUGAAGGAGGAGCUUGCUUCUCCGGAUGAGUUGCGAACGGGUGAGUAACGCGUAGGUAACCUGCCUGGUAGCGGGGGAUAACUAUUGGAAACGAUAGCUAAUACCGCAUAAGAGUAGAUGUCGCAUGACAUUUGCUUAAAAGGUGCAACUGCACCACUACCAGAUGGACCUGCGUUGUAUUAGCUAGUUGGUGAGGUAACGGCUCACCAAGGCAACGAUACAUAGCCGACCUGAGAGGGGGAUCGGCCACACUGGGACGGAGACACGGCCCAGACGCCUACGGGAGGCAGCAGUAGGGAAUCUUCGGCAAUGGACGGAAGUCUGACCGAGCAACGCCGCGUGAGUGAAGAAGGUUUUCGGAUCGUAAAGCUCUGUUGUAAGAGAAGAACGAGUGUGAGAGUGGAAAGUUCACACUGUGACGGUAUCUUACCAGAAAGGGACGGCUAACUACGUG
rnacentral:rRNA from 1 species